CAGUCGCCGCGGGAACACGUAGGGUCCGAGCGUUGUCCGGAAUUAUUGGGCGUAAAGAGCUCGUAGGCGGUCUGUCGCGUCUGCCGUGAAAUCCUCAGGCUCAACCUGAGGCGUGCGGUGGGUACGGGCAGGCUAGAGUGCGGUAGGGGAGAAUGGAACUCCUGGUGUAGCGGUGGAAUGCGCAGAUAUCAGGAAGAACACCGAUGGCGAAGGCAGUUCUCUGGGCCGUAACUGACGCUGAGGAGCGAAAGCGUGGGGAGCGAACAGGAUUAGAGACCCCUGUAGUCCCUGUCUCUUAUAC
rnacentral:rRNA from 1 species